GCCCACAUAGCUCAGUGGUAGAGCAACGCCUUGGUAAGGCGUAGGUCUCGAGUUCAAGUCUCGAUGUGGGCU
rnacentral:tRNA from 1 species